GAACGCUGGCGGCGUGCUUAACACAUGCAAGUCGAACGGAAAGGCCCUGCUUUUGUGGGGUGCUCGAGUGGCGAACGGGUGAGUAACACGUGAGUAACCUGCCCUUGACUUUGGGAUAACUUCAGGAAACUGGGGCUAAUACCGGAUAGGAGCUCCUGCUGCAUGGUGGGGGUUGGAAAGUUUCGGCGGUUGGGGAUGGACUCGCGGCUUAUCAGCUUGUUGGUGGGGUAGUGGCUUACCAAGGCUUUGACGGGUAGCCGGCCUGAGAGGGUGACCGGCCACAUUGGGACUGAGAUACGGCCCAGACUCCUACGGGAGGCAGCAGUGGGGAAUAUUGCACAAUGGGCGGAAGCCUGAUGCAGCAACGCCGCGUGCGGGAUGACGGCCUUCGGGUUGUAAACCGCUUUCGCCUGUGACGAAGCGUGAGUGACGGUAAUGGGUAAAGAAGCACCGGCUAACUACGUGCCAGCAGCCGCGGUGAUACGUAGGGUGCGAGCGUUGUCCGGAUUUAUUGGGCGUAAAGGGCUCGUAGGUGGUUGAUCGCGUCGGAAGUGUAAUCUUGGGGCUUAACCCUGAGCGUGCUUUCGAUACGGGUUGACUUGAGGAAGGUAGGGGAGAAUGGAAUUCCUGGUGGAGCGGUGGAAUGCGCAGAUAUCAGGAGGAACACCAGUGGCGAAGGCGGUUCUCUGGGCCUUUCCUGACGCUGAGGAGCGAAAGCGUGGGGAGCGAACAGGCUUAGAUACCCUGGUAGUCCACGCUGUAAACGGUGGGUACUAGGUGUGGGGUCCAUUCCACGGGUUCCGUGCCGUAGCUAACGCUUUAAGUACCCCGCCUGGGGAGUACGGCCGCAAGGCUAAAACUCAAAGGAAUUGACGGGGCCCCGCACAAGCGGCGGAGCAUGCGGAUUAAUUCGAUGCAACGCGUAGAACCUUACCUGGGUUUGACAUGGAUCGGGAGUGCUCAGAGAUGGGUGUGCCUCUUUUGGGGUCGGUUCACAGGUGGUGCAUGGCUGUCGUCAGCUCGUGUCGUGAGAUGUUGGGUUAAGUCCCGCAACGAGCGCAACCCUUGUCCACUGUUGCCAGCACGUUAUGGUGGGGACUCAGUGGAGACCGCCGGGGUCAACUCGGAGGAAGGUGGGGAUGACGUCAAGUCAUCAUGCCCCUUAUGUCCAGGGCUUCACGCAUGCUACAAUGGCUGGUACAGAGAGUGGCGAGCCUGUGAGGGUGAGCGAAUCUCGGAAAGCCGGUCUCAGUUCGGAUUGGGGUCUGCAACUCGACCUCAUGAAGUCGGAGUCGCUAGUAAUCGCAGAUCAGCAACGCUGCGGUGAAUACGUUCCCGGGGCUUGUACACACCGCCCGUCAAGUCAUGAAAGUUGGUAACACCCGAAGCCGGUGGCCUAACCGUUGUGGGGGAGCCGUCGAAGGUGGGACUGGUGAUUAGGACUAAGUC
rnacentral:rRNA from 1 species